AGAUAGCAGGAGGCAAAUAUCCAUGCUUCUCUUCUUCUUUCGUCUUGUUAUUCAGAAAAAAAUAAAGUUCUUAUUCCAUCAGUGAGAAAUCGAUUCAAUCAGAAAGUCAAUCUAAGUUAUCUCUUCUUGAGAUGCUCUCUGGUCGUAUGCGUAUUGUUCUAUUAUGUCGUUCUGUGCUAUUAUGUCUUCGUUUGAUUGUGUUCUAACGCCAUCUGUUUCAUCAGCAAGUUAACAAGUCGAUUCCAUCUGCAAGCUUUGAGAUCGAUUUCAUCGGCACGCUAGUUUGGGGAUUUCGAUGUGGUUUAGGGCUGACUUCGUUUCCCAAAAACUUAUGGGAACUGAAAGUUCCAUAUCUUAUAUACUGUGGAGUUUUGAUGGAACAUGAUAACUUAAAAUGGCCCUGCAGAACGGUUUGACAGCUCUCCAACAGAGAAAACUUAAUGGUGAGUAAUUGAUAGCAAAUAUAUAAUCCACCAGGGCAUUCAAAAUUCGGGUAUUCCAUCAUUAGAAAGGUAAUAGUCUACACUAUAUCCAUAGAAGCCAUGUUAUUAUUAUGAUUAUAGUUUACAUAAUGAUCUUAUUAGAAGUUUAUAGACUUCUAAUAAAAGAGACUACAUUUUUUCGAUUGUAAACUUCCAGUCUAAUCAUUGUUGAAAUUCCAUUGUAAACAAAAAGACUACAUAUUUCUUUUGUUUCGCCAAAACAAGAGUUUGAGCUCGGAGACUGAUCACUUCCGGUAGUGGUAUCAGGAUGUUUUUCCUACUAUUUUCAUCCUGAUAUAUAAUGAUUGUGGUUGAUUAAUUCUCCCCCUCACCCUUGGAAUCACGUAAGACUCUUACUGCAACAUAGAUUUCUUUGGAAAGUUUGCUUUUUUAAACAAUUCCAUGACUUCCUUCUCCUAUGUUUUCCGUAAAAUCAUCUAUUUUCUUAAAUAUUUUGCAUAAGAAUAUCUAGUUGGUCUUGUGACCUUGUAGUCUUCUAAAAACUUUCAAGUCUAACUUGAUCCUCUCUUCAUUUUUAAUUGUCAAAUUAAAUUGAUAAAAUGUGAGAAUAAAGUUUGAUCCUAUUCAUGGAGAUUCCGUAACUAUUCAAAAAAUGGAAAGUUCGACACAAUUGGGAUUUUUUUUUUUGGAAAUUGGAAGCAGUUACUAAUUCAUGAUCUGGCAUUUACAGAA